rnacentral:rRNA from 1 species
UACGAAGGGGGCAAGCGUUGUUCGGAAUUACUGGGCGUAAAGCGUGCGCAGGCGGUUGUGUAAGACAGAUGUGAAAUCCCCGGGCUCAACCUGGGAACUGCAUUUGUGACUGCACAGCUGGAGUGCGGCAGAGGGGGAUGGAAUUCCGCGUGUAGCAGUGAAAUGCGUAGAUAUGCGGAGGAACACCGAUGGCGAAGGCAAUCCCCUGGGCCUGCACUGACGCUCAUGCACGAAAGCGUGGGGAGCAAACAGG